UCGGGUAUGGUGUAGCGGUAACAUCAGCGACUCUCAAUUGCUCGCUAGCCCGGGGUUCGACUCCCCGUAUCCGAG
rnacentral:tRNA from 1 species